CCGCCUCCUCCUCCCUUUGUGCGACAACCUGGUCUUCCGCUUCACUUUCAUUUUCAUUUUUGAGCUUCUUCAUUUCGAUCUCCCUCUCUGCAACGAAAAUCACCCCACCGAAAUUGCUUUUGAUCGCAUAUCCUUCAGCCCAUGCCAUCAUCAUCAUCUUUCAUCAUCUUUCAUCAUCUAUAUCACCAUCCACCGAGUUCUCUCUCUCUCCAUGCAUUUCUCUCAAGCCCAUGCGUCCACUGAAGUCACCAAUUCCCCUGUUGCAGCACCACACGUCCAACACCUGAUCUCCAUGAGUCAAAGUUCCUCAGCCAAGUUGUUUUGUUGACUCCUGGCCGCGCGUCUCCCGCAGCUCGGACGAAGCUGCUUCUCCGUUCAUCCGCAACGCCAGCAAGCUGUUCGGUCAACUUCAACAAUCCACGAAGCCUUGCUGACCGAAGCCACACCCCACCGAAACUCCUUGAAGCUGCCACGUCCACGUUUUUCUUCAGCUUGGUCAGCCACCGACCGAAUCAAUCGAGCCAGCAGCUCAGCGGAUUCAGUCCACGUUUCCAGCGAAGCUGUUGCCCUCACGUCCGCGGAUCGAGCAGCGAAGACCGAAGCUGCCCCGCGUUUCCAUCUCGCGCUGCCUGCUCGCGUUUCCCUUGCCCACCUUCGCAUGGCUUCAUUUCACCGAGUCAGGCCCAGCAUCACCGAAGCUCAGCCCACAUCAACGGCCCAGCAAGAUGCCAUCUUUCUGCAGCCCAUCUUCACGCAACGCCAACCCAUUUGAAGUCCAUCAGCAGCCCAAGAGAACAGUCCAAUUAAUUGGGUCUUCAGCCCAAUUCAGCAAGGCCCAAUUCCAGCAAGUCAAUUGAAGCCCAAGCUUAGGCCCAAGUUCAGUUAGUUCUAGCCCAUUUGAAGUUCAGCCAUUUUGGGCCCGCGAAGAAAGCCCAAGACCGAAACUCAGCCUUGCUGAGUUGUGUUGGGCUAAGUUUAGGCCCGGCCCAAGUUUGUUGACGCCGCCGAAAAUUUCGAUUUCGGCCGCCGUCGCGUCGUCGUCGCGGUGAACUGGUUUUUGCGAUACACCGGUUCGUCGAGUGGAGGACCUGGAGAUGAGAGAAGGUGAUCAGAAGCGUAUGUCAGUUAGGACCGCUUCUUUUGGAAGGCUAGUCUUUUGUAGUCUUUUGGUCAUAGACCUUGUGCUUGACAUUAUGUGAUUAUAAAAGCAUGUUUGUUCUGAGAAUUUGUAUCCUACAUUUCUAUCCCGAGAUGAUUACUAUCAGGGGAUUUCUUUUC